UAGAAGCAAAGACCUUUUCUCCUAAUUUAGCAGGUUGUUUACUUUUAUAAUCAGGAUUUGUGCUAUUGCAAAUUGACUUCAGAAUUCACCCAACUUAACUGUCUUUUCACAGCACAUAACUGAACCUUUCAAAAACUGAAAUUCCAUUCCCCUCUUCUAGUCACUUAUCCAAUCAGCAAUAAGAGGUAAUCCAUCUUUUGUCAAAGAGGUCUCAGCCAUGAGGAAGCUAAAAGAAAACCUAAAACGCUCUUUUUUCCCCAUAUUCUUUUUGGCAUUUGAGCCAAGGAAUAGUAUGGAGGGAAACAAAAACCAUGUAUUCUGCAUUUAUGUUCAUGGUUAGGAUAUGGAGGGAACAUUACUUUGUCAAGUAAGUAAAUGAAUGAAUGAAUGAAAAUAAAAGAAGUACGGCAAUGUUGAA